rnacentral:rRNA from 1 species
UCGAGAAUAAUUCACAAUGGGGGCAACCCUGAUGGUGCAACGCCGCGUGGAGGAUGACGGUCUUCGGAUUGUAAACUCCUGUCAUCUGGGAGUAAGGCAUGGCUGUUAAUAGCAGACAUGAUUGAUAGUACCAGAAGAGGAAGGGACGGCUAACUUCGUGCCAGCAGCCGCGGUAAUACGAAGGUCCCAAGCGUUGUUCGGAAUCACUGGGCGUAAAGGGAGCGUAGGCGGCGUGGUAAGUCAGAUGUGAAAUCCCGGGGCUCAACCCCGGAACUGCAUCCGAUACUGCCAUGCUAGAGGAUUGGAGAGGUAGCUGGAAUUCUUGGUGUAGCAGUGAAAUGCGUAGAGAUCAAGAGGAACACUCGUGGCGAAAGCGAGCUACUGGACAAUUCCUGACGCUGAGGCUCGAAGGCUAGGGUAGCGAAAGGG